rnacentral:rRNA from 1 species
CAGCAGCCGCGGGAAAACGUAGGUGGCAAGCGUUGUCCGGAAUUAUUGGGCGUAAAGGGCUCGCAGGCGGUUUCUUAAGUCUGAUGUGAAAGCCCCCGGCUCAACCGGGGAGGGUCAUUGGAAACUGGGAAACUUGAGUGCAGAAGAGGAGAGUGGAAUUCCACGUGUAGCGGUGAAAUGCGCAGAGAUGUGGAGGAACACCAGUGGCGAAGGCGACUCUCUGGUCUGUAACUGACGCUGAGGAGCGAAAGCGUGGGGAGCGAACAGGAUUAGAUACCCCCGUAGUCCCUGUCUCUUAUAC